rnacentral:rRNA from 1 species
GAUGAACGCUGGCGGCGUGCCUAAUACAUGCAAGUCGAGCGAACAGACGAGGAGCUUGCUCCUCUGACGUUAGCGGCGGACGGGUGAGUAACACGUGGAUAACCUACCUAUAAGACUGGGAUAACUUCGGGAAACCGGAGCUAAUACCGGAUAAUAUAUUGAACCGCAUGGUUCAAUAGUGAAAGACGGUUUUGCUGUCACUUAUAGAUGGAUCCGCGCCGCAUUAGCUAGUUGGUAAGGUAACGGCUUACCAAGGCAACGAUGCGUAGCCGACCUGAGAGGGUGAUCGGCCACACUGGAACUGAGACACGGUCCAGACUCCUACGGGAGGCAGCAGUAGGGAAUCUUCCGCAAUGGGCGAAAGCCUGACGGAGCAACGCCGCGUGAGUGAUGAAGGUCUUCGGAUCGUAAAACUCUGUUAUUAGGGAAGAACAAAUGUGUAAGUAACUAUGCACGUCUUGACGGUACCGAAUCAGAAAGCCACGGCUAACUACG